AAGCUGUGAUUGAUUUUUCUGUCUGUUUUUUUUUUUUAUUAUUAUUUAUUUUUCGUCUUAUUUAGUCUCGCGCACUAGUGGGCCAACCCAUUUCUUUGGUCCGUCGACAUUGUUAGUUCGCCAACUUAGUUGAAUUAGUUCGCUGUGCUCGUGGGCCAUUUGGGGAUUUCCCGCAAUUGUUGUGCGUCGUGAGACGGUGAUAGGAUUACGGACGCAAACUAACAUAACUAAACCUGUCGAGUCUCUGACUCUCUACUAGUCUGGUGGUUCUGGAUACUAUCACACGGCACUUACCACAACAACAUCACAUUGGGCUUGGGUGGGAGCACCAAGAAGUAUACCGGCUAUACACUUUCCAGUCAGCCUGCGCGUUCACGCUCAACCGCGUUGUGGCGGGAUGCCAAAUUUGCUGAGACACGCUGGAAAGGCCAGUGGGUGGUCAAACUCGCGACCCAGGAGCUAAUAACGGCCAGCCAUGGCAGCACUGCCAGCCAGCCAGGGUCAGCGCCCCCUGAUCGAGUUUGACGGCUUACAGGUCACAUCUGGCUCGUCUGCUUCUGGAUUAGGAGCAGCUGCUCCGUGUUCCGUGCAAACUGCACUGUGCAUACGUGCUAGGAUUAGCUUGGAACUAUGACUAUUCGAGUAGGUCAAUCACCGGGAGUGGGCCCGACUGCGGUGCUCCGAAUGUGUCUCAAGGUCAAGACCAUGGCCGCCGACUCUACAGCACGGAGUACAGUCUCUAGCCUCCAGUCAAUGGUCAACAUUGACGGCAUUGAACAGACAAGACCAGAGGCGAAAUGAGUGCUGAUCCUUAACCUAUUCCAGUUCACGGUCUCGACAGCUAAACCAGUCUGGUCCUUAGCUUUUGGCUAGCAUUAGCUUGGCUGUUAGGUAGUUAGUUAGAAUUUAUUAGGUUAUUAUUAUGGGCCGACUCCACUCAUCACGGAGAGAGGUUUUUCGGCGAGAGAAGGAAUGGUCUAGUCUACUCCAUACAGAGUGAGUAUGUAUUCAGAUGUGGUGUAGUUAUGCGAUGUUAUUGAAAUGAACAUGAAUAAGCCAACAGUUGGCGUGACCCAAGUCCUGAGGAGGAGGAAGACCGACUCUUGACACACAUGCUUACUUCGUCCGAUUUGAAAGCGCACCGAAAAACCCGUCGCACACUGCACGCUCUGCUCCUCCGCAUUGACACACAGCUACAUACACAUUCCGUGUUCGGACGCAAUCCUCACGAAAUCAAUUUCCGAUGCAUGCAAUCGAAAGCAGAACCGGGCAGUAGUCUGCCUGUUUUCAAGAUCGAAUGCAGCAGCUCGCAAUCGCCGUUUUGUGUUGAAUCAUUAAUUUUCCGAAUCGGGCAUCAAAGCGUCCACCUGUGUACUACCUGUCUACACUCUAGUGACUCUACAAGUAACUAAGUUCUACAGAGAGUAAACAUUGCACAGGCUCCACCAGCAACCCACCGCAACGGAUCCAGAUUUUGACUUUGAAGUGGGUUGUUUCAAUUCUCGGGAUAACUAUGGGAUAUACUUCCUCGAACCAUGGAACCAGCCAAAGCUCACCUGAUGAUCAUGAUCCAUCAUCAUCAAAACAAUGAAAAAAGGGGGGACCAGCGAGAGCUUUCACAUAGCACGGCGGUUGCAGUAUUGACCUUGUUUCGAGAUGACCCAAUAUAGGAUCAUCUACGAUCUUACGGACUUUUUUAACCAACCUGUCAAAUAAAGAGUUUUUUUUGUCUCUUCCUUUCUUUACAUGUCGCACUCCGGCUGUCAGUAAUCGGUAAUGUACGGAGUGCAUCCGUGAUUCGAGCGAGCCCUGCAAGCUGGACGCCCGACGCGUUUUUUGCGACCCAUAUUUCUUCACCAACAAAAGUGGGGCCAUACAUCAUGCAGUAUGCACCGGAUCGAGUGCAUCCUUGCCGAUGUGGAAGAUAGCGCAUGUAGAAAUCCAAAAGAUCAGAAUCUUUGAAUAGGUACGGAUAUAGCCGCAUCGUGAUCUUAUCAACGACCCAAACGAUGGGAAUGUCGCGAUAACGUGCUUAAUCUUAAUUCUUGGGGGAUCUGCACGUUCGAUAAAUGAAUAUGAGAAGCGACAUUUCCGCGGGUGAUGGGGUUUAUUCGACUAACUUAGUUAUCAACUAUCUUCUUACCUAACUUAACUGUUGCUUAACUGAUAACUAGUUAGUUAACAUCCCAACCAUUACUUAAGGCAGAUACACUAUAUACGUAGUUAACGAUAGAUCGACAGUGUGGUGUCGGAUCCGAGUAAGUAACUAUCAAUAUUGAGUUGUUCUACUCCAGAGAGUAAAUAGUUACUUACCCUAGCUACGGAACACCGGCUUCCGUUACGGAGUGCAUGAUGCCGACUA
rnacentral:lncRNA from 1 species